GGUAAAAGAUAGCUUAUAUUAAGGGAAGAGCAGUUGGCGCGAUACCAAAAGAUCCAGGUUCGAUUCCUGGUCUGGGCCG
rnacentral:tRNA from 1 species